rnacentral:rRNA from 1 species
CAGCAGUCGCCGCGGUAAUACGAGGGGUGCAAGCGUUAUUCGGAUUGAUUGGGUGUAAAGGGUGUGCAGACGGCUUAUUAAGUCACUUGUUAAAUUCUUCGGCCUAACUGAAGGUCUGCAAGUGAUACUGAUGAGCUAGAGGGUGGAAGAGAGAAGUGGAAUUCUCGGAGUAGCGGUAAAAUGCGUAGAUCUCGAGAGGAACACCAGUGGCGAAGGCGACUCUCUGGUCUGUAACUGACGCUGAGGAGCGAAAGCGUGGGGAGCGAACAGGAUUAGAUACCCCCGUAGUCCCUGUCUCUUAUAC